GGCAUCAUCAUCAGCAGCAGCUGCUGCUGCUCCUGAAUCGAGCUCGGUACAAGAGGUUGUGGCUUUCGGCUCUUCCAUGAACCCGCGGAAGUCUUUCUCGGACGAGAGGCCGUGAGAAGACUCAUCUCCUCCAUCAACAGGAUUCAGGCGGACCUUCGCGCUCAUCUCUCUGCGAAGCUCCUCCUCCCCUAUCUCUGCACGCAACACAAACCGAAACAGCAAGCUCUCUCAACAUACAGCCGCAGAGGAACGAAGCAGCAGCAGCAGCUCCCACUACUCCCUUACCUGAAAGCGUGAUCGACGAUGAAGCUGAUCAAAACGAUCAGAAGAUAGACAAGAAAGAAGCAGCAACAGAAACCAAGGAGCGCCAUUUCUCAACAGAACAUGUCAUCCGCCAACUCUCUGUUCAUCAAGAGAGAAGUCCACCCACCAUUAUCUCCACCUCAAGCAAGAGUAAAUGGACACUUCACCUGCAACAACAGAGCAAUAAACCUCAAAAGAACUCGAGCAACCGAAGCAAACGGGUAAACCGGAAGUGGAACUCCCACCCGAAAGAUGUGAUGGUAGACAAAGAAGAAGGUGAGGCUUCCCAUCAGCCAUGGUUGCCGAAUGCUCUCCGAUGCUGUUGGCCUGCCAAGUGUAGUGAGGAAGAGAGAAUCCAGAUGAGAGGCUUGACCGAGCCAACCUGCAACAACCAGUCCAUCAACCCCUCCCAUCAUCUCGGUUUUACCUCUGUGAAUCCUGUGGAGGUCAUCAUCUUCAUGGUCCACAAUGGAUUCAUUCAAGAACCUUAAUUGGGUUCACCUAACUCAUCUGCAAAUUGAUACAAAUCACAGACAACCUUAGAAUCAUUGACUUGGCAUACAA